UACGUAGGGUGCGAGCGUUGUCCGGAAUUAUUGGGCGUAAAGAGCUCGUAGGCGGUCUGUCGCGUCGAUCGUGAAAACUUGGGGCUUAACCCUGAGCUUGCGGUCGAUACGGGCAUGACUGGAGUUCGGCAGGGGAGACUGGAAUUCCUGUGUAGCGGUGAAAUGCGCAGAUAUCAGGAGGAACACCGGUGGCGAAGGCGGGUCUCUGGGCCGAUACUGACGCUGAGGAGCGAAAGCGUGGGGAGCGAACAGG
rnacentral:rRNA from 1 species